rnacentral:pre_miRNA from 1 species
UUUUAUGGAUGAUCAAAGAAAGUGAUUUCUUGAGAUGGGAUCUAUUAUUGGUGAAGAUGCUGGGAA